rnacentral:rRNA from 1 species
UACGUAGGGGGCAAGCGUUGUCCGGAUUUAUUGGGCGUAAAGAGCGUGUAGGCGGCCAGACAGGUCCGUUGUGAAAACUCGAGGCUCAACCUCGAGACGCCGGUGGAAACCAUCAGGCUAGAGUCCGGAAGAGGAGAGUGGAAUUCCUGGUGUAGCGGUGAAAUGCGCAGAUAUCAGGAAGAACACCCGUGGCUAAGGCGGCUCUCUAGUACGGUACUGACGCUGAGACGCGAAAGCGUGGGGAGCGAGCAGG